rnacentral:lncRNA from 1 species
GCAUGAUCAAGGGUAAUGACACCUCGAAGGAUAAGUUCACGGCUAAGAUCAUCUUUUAGGCCCUAUCUAAACCUACUCAAAGUCAUUGCCUCAUCCUCAACGAUGUGACAUCGCAUUAGAAAUUCAUCAAAUUGAGUAACAUAGUUAGUCACUAGUCGAUUUCCCUGUGUAAGGGUAUUCCAUUGGUCCAACAAGUUGCUCCUAUAAGAUUGGGGCAAAUACUUCUCUUGAAGGUGGUGCUUCAUUUCCUCACAACUUCCAAUUGGAGGUGCACGACGCCUCUCAAGGAGAUCCUCAACACUUUCCUAGAAGAGUUGGGCGGUGCCAGUUAAUUUCAGACUGGCAAAUUGGACACGUCGAUCCUCUGGGACUCCAUACCAUGCCAAGAAAAUCCAUGUCUCCAAUCCACUGAGUAAAAACUCUAGGAUCUAAGCAACCAUCGAAAGUAGGAGCGUCUAACUUGAUGUUUUUAAAAUAACACUCGUCAUGGUGUGGAGGAGAAUGAUUAUCGCGACGGCCACGACCUCGUUCUCGAUCACGACCCUAAUCUCUAUUCCUUUGAUCACGUCGAGGAUGUUGUCGACCACCUUGUCGACAAUAAUAGUGUACAUUAUGGGACGCUUUGGAGUUAUCAACGUCAAUCGAACAAGGGGUUUGUUCAAAAUUGUCCAACCUAGCAGCUAGGUCUCUACUCUCUUCACGAGUAGCAGCCAUCUCGAUUUGGAUAGCCGCUAUUUGAAUCUGUAAAUGUUGCUGAC